AGAGUUUGAUCCUGGCUCAGGACGAACGCUGGCGGCGUGCCUAAUACAUGCAAGUAGAACGCUGAAGGAGGAGCUUGCUUCUCUGGAUGAGUUGCGAACGGGUGAGUAACGCGUAGGUAACCUGCCUGGUAGCGGGGGAUAACUAUUGGAAACGAUAGCUAAUACCGCAUAAGAGUAGAUGUUGCAUGACAUUUGCUUAAAAGGUGCACUUGCAUCACUACCAGAUGGACCUGCGUUGUAUUAGCUAGUUGGUGGGGUAACGGCUCACCAAGGCGACGAUACAUAGCCGACCUGAGAGGGUGAUCGGCCACACUGGGACUGAGACACGGCCCAGACUCCUACGGGAGGCAGCAGUAGGGAAUCUUCGGCAAUGGACGGAAGUCUGACCGAGCAACGCCGCGUGAGUGAAGAAGGUUUUCGGAUCGUAAAGCUCUGUUGUAAGAGAAGAACGAGUGUGAGAGUGGAAAGUUCACACUGUGACGGUAUCUUACCAGAAAGGGACGGCUAACUACGUGCCAGCAGCCGCGGUAAUACGUAGGUCCCGAGCGUUGUCCGGAUUUAUUGGGCGUAAAGCGAGCGCAGGCGGUUAGAUAAGUCUGAAGUUAAAGGCUGUGGCUUAACCAUAGUAGGCUUUGGAAACUGUUUAACUUGAGUGCAAGAGGGGAGAGUGGAAUUCCAUGUGUAGCGGUGAAAUGCGUAGAUAUAUGGAGGAACACCGGUGGCGAAAGCGGCUCUCUGGCUUGUAACUGACGCUGAGGCUCGAAAGCGUGGGGAGCAAACAGGAUUAGAUACCCUGGUAGUCCACGCUGUAAACGAUGAGUGCUAGGUGUUAGACCCUUUCCGGGGUUUAGUGCCGUAGCUAACGCAUUAAGCACUCCGCCUGGGGAGUACGACCGCAAGGUUGAAACUCAAAGGAAUUGACGGGGGCCCGCACANGCGUCGUAGUCCAGUUUGGCGAUGAUUUCCUUGUGUGUAUCCUUAUUGAUGAUGUCUAAAAUCUGGAUAUUAGGGUCUUUAAUGUCUAGUAAUUUUGUGAUAAAAUGUAAUUGUUCCAUAUGAUUCUUUCUAAUGAGUUGUUUUGUCGCUUUUCAUUAUAGAUCUUAUGGGACUUUUUUUCUACCCAAAAUAGGCUCCAUAAUAUCCAUAGGGGAUUUACCCACUACAAAUAUUAUAGAGCCUGAAAAAUUCUAUAUUUCCAUCUGGUAUUGGACUAAAGUUGUUUCCUCUAGGAUAAUACUCAUUAUAUUGAAUAUCAUAAUGCCCAGUUGUAGACCCUCGUGGAGCAGCACCAAUUCCAGUAUCUCCACUAUCAAGAAAAAUCUCUACUUCAAUUGUUGCGAACCCUUUUGAAUCAAAGAUAUAUCUGCAAAUACCAUUAAUUAUUUUCAUAGGCUUCCACUUUCUUUUUUAUCAUUGAAAAUUACUUUUUUUAUAAAUGUCGUCGAUUUUAUUUUCUAUUGAGAUCUAAUUUCCCUACUCAGCUCAAUAAUACGUUCACAUAGGUUUGGGAAAUCUAUACCAGCUGCUUUCGCUUCCUGUGGUAAUAAACUUGUUUUAGUCAUACCUGGUAAACUAUUUGAUUCAAUAAAAUAUACAUCCCCCUUCUCAUCUACAAUAAAAUCAGUACGUGAAUAAACAUUAAAUCCAAGAGCCUUAUGUAUUUUAUAUGCGGAUUUUUGUAAGGUAUGAGUUAACUUUUCAGAUAUUUUUGCGGGAACGACUUCUUCAGCUGCACCAACAGUGUACUUGUUAUUAUAAUCAUAAAAACCAUUUUUUACUUUUAUUUCAAUAACCGGUAAAACAGUUUCACCUAAAAUACCUACCGAAAAUUCUCUCCCCUUAAUAUACUUUUCUACAAAGAAUGAACCAAGUUCAGGAUGCUCUUUAUAAUAAAUGUCAAAUUGUUUUUUAUUUUGAAAUAUCUUAAUACCUUUACUUGAACCACUUCUAAUUGGCUUUAUAACAAUAGGAAAAUCAUUUGCCUGAAUUCUAUCAACCAUCAAGUUCGAAGCACAUUUUAUUCCAACAGAACUAGCCACUAUUUUUGAUAAUUUUUUAUCCAUGCUAAUAGCUGUACUAAGAAACGAAUUUCCUGUAUAGUCUAUUUUUUCUACAUCAAAAAUAGCCUGUAGUUUCCCAUUCUCACCUAUUCCACCAUGAGUUGCUAAGAAAACUAUAUCAACCUUUCUACAAACAUCAAUAAUACCCGAACCAAUCUCAACUUUUUGUUUAUUUAAUCCGCGCUCACUUUUUUCAAUUUCUCCUAUCUCGUACGAACAGUCUUGAGAUAAAUCUAUAGAAAUCACAUCAUACCCCAAUGUUAAUAGACUUUUACUAAUUUCCUUUGCAGAAUUUUCUGACACCUCUCUCUCUUCGCUAAGGCCACCAUAUAGUACAACAAUUUUUUUAAUAAUAGCCAUUCACUUAACCUCCUUAUUAGAAUCUUAUUGAAUAAAAUGAAGCAAUAGUUAUCUCAAAAUAUAAAUAAUAAAUAAUAUAUAAUAUAGUAUUUAGAAAAUAAUUUCUAAUAUCUGCAAAAGAAAGCGCUUCUAUUUUUAUUUUACAAUUUUUUAAUCCUAUUGUCAAAAAUUAUUUGUGCUUAAACCAUAUGAGUGUGCUCCAUGUAUUGCAGUUCCUUAAAUCAAGCAUAAUCCAGCAUUUCUAGCUUUAUCCCUCCUCUAAAAUUUGUCAAUUACGAAAACAUCUUUUUCCAUAUUUAACGUGCUUACAAAAAUUUCUAAUCUUAUUGCUCUUUUCUCAAACUCAUAAAGAUAAUAGUCUAAGUUUUCUUGCAAUACUCUUAUUUCUUCGUUCACAUUUUCUAAUGAAGUUGAUUCUGUUAAGUUCAGUUUUGAAAAGUCAUACCUGGCUAAUUUUUGGCUGCUCGCAUCUUCACUCUUUAGAUUGAUAAACACUUCCGCCAUCUUAUUUAAAUUGACGAUUUUUUCAUUAAUUUGAUUUAGUUUUAUAUCUAUCUCUGCUAUUUCUUUUACUAACUCGUCUUUAAUGUCUUGGUAUUUCUUAUCUGCUUCAGUUAAUUCAAUGAAGAGGUUAAUCUCAGUAAUCUUUUCCUGUAGACUCUUAACUGUAGGUCUUCUGU
rnacentral:rRNA from 1 species